CCUUCUAUAACUAUCAAGGUUUCGGUUUCUCAAGACCAAGUCCAAGUCUCAAAAUCUCCAUGAGCCAGAUCUCAGAGUUGAAGAUGACAAGAGUGUCUUUAAGAUUCUUUUUAUGUUGUUUAACUAUAUCAAAAGUGCCUAUCACAUGAAAUAACAUGAACUACGAAAUCCAAUAACUUUGUAUUAAGAAAUUUAUUGAAUAUGUACAAAUAUUAAGUUCACAAACACCCCCCUUACCCCCCCCCCCCCCCCCCCAAACACCACCAAGUCACCACGCACACAGAAAGACAGCCAUCUCCUCUGGGAUGCUAAAUUCUCAGAGUUCAGAGAGUUUCUACAGGUCAAAGCCUUCUAUAACUAUCAAGGUUUCGGUUUCUCAAGACCAAGUCCAAGUCUCAAAAUCUCCAUGAGCCAGAUCUCAGAGUUGAAGAUGAACAAGAGUGUCUUUAAGAUUCUUUUGAUGUUGUUUAACUAUAUCAAAAGUGCCUAUCACAUGAAAUAACAUGAACUACGAGGCUAUUUAAAAGGAUUCACAGUGAUAGUCCUUUACAACUCCUUUUUCCCAGUGCUUCUAUUCAUAUUUCCCCACAACCACAGCAUCUGAAUAGUUGGUUACUCUUUAAUCUGCCAACACAAUGCCCCACAACCAAAUUGGCUCUGCAUCACAAAGGUCACGAUCUUGAUACUUUAAGCUUGUAUCAACGAGUAGACAUGAUAGUAGAAGCCUAAAAGUCCAUAUAGACAUUACCUUGAACUGCUUCACAUCA
rnacentral:lncRNA from 1 species